AUGCUUUCUGGAACACUUAACGUAACCAUCAAAAGAGAUAGUUUAGUCCGAAAUGAGCUGGAGACCAGAGUUGGUUUGCAAAAAUUGCAUGAUUGCAUUGCAUCUGCCUGUGUGAAUUUCCUUCCUUCUUCCUCCGGCAAGAGUAGUGGUUGGUCAACACUUCUCAAGCGCAUCUAUCUUGUGCUGGAGAAGAGCAGAAGGGUAGUCUUGAAGUCUUGGUCCGCUCCUACCUCCUCCGAUCAGCUCCCUCCUGCAAUCCGUGGAGGCCAGAGUCACAUGGCUCAUGGGUUUCAGUAUGGCGUACUCUCUCCAGUUGUUGGACUCUUUGUGAAUGAGAUAUGGGAGCCGAUCAAGAAGCACUUUGGUUACUGUCUCAAGCCUGGAAGCAAAGUUCGUAAACUGGCAAGAGCCGCUGAUGGUUUAAAAUCCCACAUUGAUACUAUUGAUGAACAAAUUCAGUUGGGCAAGAGACCAAGGGAUUCAACAAAAAGUUGGAUCGGGAGUGCAAAAUCGAUAGAAAAUGAAUCAGUCAGAAUCAAGAAUGAGUAUGAAGAAAGGAGAAUAUAUAUGUUUGGUUGCUCCUGGAAUUGUUUAUUUAACUACCGGAUUGGUCGUGCUGCCAUAAAGAAGAAGAAAGAAGUUGAUGAACUGAUGGAGAGACCUCCGCAGAAUGAUGGGAUCUUCAGUUUGCUACCACCAGUUGGCAAAGAGCUUCCUCUGCCGCCUAACAUUGUGGGGCAAAACAAGUACAUGGAGGAGAUAGUUGCUUGCAUCGAACAAGGCACCACCACCUUCAUUGGCAUAUGUGGCAUGGGAGGGGCUGGCAAAACUACUCUCCUUAAGCAAUUAAACAACGUGUUCAGCUGCACUGCAGAAAUGCACAAAUUUGAUCAUGUCAUUUAUGUGGAAAUUGAUCAGCAACCGAAUCCCGCUACAGUUCAGCAGAGCAUCGCAUCCCAGCUUGGCCUGACGCUAGGACAGGAUGAGAGCACCACAGCUAGAUCUGCAUCUCUGUACAACUUCUUGAAGGAAAGGAAGUUUUUAUUGUUGGUGGAUAACCUUUGGCAACCACUGGACCUAGUGAAGGUCGGGAUACCACAAGGUUACAUCCAAAUCGGACCUCAAAAUAGGAAUAUGGUCGUAGUCACAGCACGUGAUCGACAGAUGUGUCACAGGAUGCAAGCACAUAAUCUAGUGAUUACGUUACAAAGUCUGAGGUCUGAUGAAGCCUGGAGUCUCUUUGAGGCGAAUGCGGGCUGCAACAGACUAACCAACAGCAGUCUUCAAAUUAGAGGUUAUGCUGAGGGUAUUGUGGACAAGUGUGGAGGUCUUCCACUUGCUCUUAAGGUAGUUGGUCAGGCUAUGGCGAUGAAAGAAAGCGAGCAUGAAUGGAAACACGCUGUGAUGUUGCUACGACAGUCUCAAUUCCACAAAGUUCCAGAUGCAGAAAGUAACCUAUUUCCUAUACUGUAUAUUAGCUACGACCACCUUCCAGAUGUCAGGACAAAGAAAUGUUUUCUUUUCUUUGCCUUGAAUGGAACAAAAUAUUAUAAUUACUCCAAUUAUUUGAUAGAUUUAUGGAUGGGACAUGGAUUACUUGAUGAAGAAGAUGACGAUACCAAAAACUGCUAUCUGAGAGGUCACUCUGUUGUUGGAUGUUUAAAAAGAGCUUGCUUGUUAGAAGAACAUCCUCGAGGGGAAAUUUAUCUGAGAAUGCAUGAUAUGAUCCGAGGCCUAGCUCUUUGGAUUGUAGCAGAGCAACAAGGCGAUGGAUGUAACAACAAGUGGCUAUUACAUCACAGUGAAGAACCAGACGAGUGGAGCAAGUCCCAUAGGAUUUCCCUUUCACGUGUGAGUGAUGUGAAGAUCCUUGAUUAUUGCAGUUGCCCUGACCUAUUAACUCUCGUGCUGGACUAUUGCUGGACGAUUAGCAAGGUUCCUGUAGGCUUUUUCACAGAUGCUCCAUCUCUCACCUACUUGAAUCUAAGUUAUACUAAUAUUCAAGAACUCCCGUCAGAUGUUGGAGCACUAGUGAAUUUGCGGCACCUUGAUCUUUCAUACACUUGUAUACAGUCGAUCCCAAUUGAGAGUAAACUAUUGAAAAGUUUGAGGUACCUAUAUUUAGGGUUUACAGCUGAGCUGACAUAUAUCCCAGAUGGGAUAAUAUCUGCACUAGGUAUGUUGAGGGUCCUCGAUUUAUACUAUAGUGCUUGUCUCCCAGAGCACAAAACACAUGCACUUAUUAAGGAGCUUGAGAGUUUGACAAGGUUACAAUUUCUUGGGUUCACAGUGGCCGAUACCACUUCACUUCACAGGUUGCUCGAUCUUUCUAAAGCCUCCCUGAAAUCCCUUCAUAUAAAAAGUGUGAACGGCUUGCAGAAUCUCAACCUUUGUCCCAGAAUUGUUAGCAAAAUGAGGGCACAUCAACUCGAGAUAUUGGCAGUAAGUGGCAUAGAAAGUUUGGAGGAGUUGCUGGUUGGUGGUGAAAACGAUGUGGAUUCAGAUUGGCUCUUCCAAAGUCUUGACCAGCUUCAAUUGGUCGACCUCAAAAAAUUGGUAGGCAUCGUUCGGAAAGGUGUGAGGCCUCGUGCUUGCCUACCCAAACUUAGAUUUUUGUUGUUAGAUGGCUGCCACAGCAUCAGAUCAAUCACGUGGGUCAAGCAUUUGCCCUGCCUAGAAGAAGUUUGUGUGAUUGACUGCGAUUUGAUAUCGGAGUUAGUGACCGAUGAUGACGAGGAAGUUGCCAUGUCAUCUGCUAUGGCGUCAUUCCCUCGUCUCAAGUUACUCGGACUAAGUCACCUCACAAACCUGAAGAACAUAUGUGACAGCACGCUCGGAGUCGCGAGCUUGCAGCGCUUCCUUGUGUACAAUUGUCCCAUGCUAACAAAAUUGCCAUCUGGGUUACUGAAAGAAGAUCAUGCGCCAUUGAUACUCGGACAACAGUACUGGUGGGAUCAACUAGUCUGGGAUGAUGGUAGCACCAAAUCUACUUUAUUCCCAUUCUUCAGAGAACUGCCUGCAGAUUUUCAAGGACGAGACAGCGUAGAUGUUUUCAGUGCGUUAGUCGGGUAG
rnacentral:rRNA from 1 species